rnacentral:lncRNA from 1 species
ACCUAUGUGUCAGUCACAGAGUCUCCGUGUCUUUCAGAAUUUUCCCAUAGAGAGGUUUCCUGUGAUGAGGAGCGUCAGGAAAUCUGUUUCUCUCCUUUUAUUUGAUUGUACUUUCUCCCAGACAGCACAUGGAAAAGAAUUCUUGCUUUCACUAGAGAUGUGUGCAUAGAGUGUAGCCUGAGCUGAGGGCUCUGUAUGAAAGGCACUCUUGUUGAAAUUCUGCUUACUCUGACCUCCAGUGACCCAGACUGACAGAACACCUCUAUUCCUUGGCAGAAAAGAGGAACGCCCUGGGGUCCUUUCCUGGCCUGCUUUGCUCAGGCUUGGAUGCAGGUAGUCGCAGGUGAAGUUCCACCUUUAGCCAUGUGGGGGAGCCCACGUGCCACCACUCACAUUCCACCCAGGAGGCGGGUUUUAGUGCCAAACGUCUUUUCUUCGCUUUUCUUGCUCACUGCCUCUCAGGCGUCUUAGCCCAGUGCGUUUUCAUCAGUUCUUAGGGACUCGGCCUUCUGCAGUUGCAACAUCAGAGAGCAAGGGGCCUUGCAUGCCUCAGGAGAGAGGGUGCCCAGGCUCUGUGUCACCAUUCUGAAUAACGGUGAGUCACUGCCCAGCCUGAGCCUAGAAUGUCCCGUUCUUAUCCAGAUGAAUGACUCGCCUCUGUCUGUGGGGAGUCUCUGCACAGGGGAGGCCAGUGUGGGGGAAAUACCAAAGAUCUCCUUUCCGGAAGCAAGCACAAAUAAAAUUUCAUUGGAAAGGUUGGUGGGGGACAUUGUCUGUGUUCUCUGGCAUGCACCUGUGUGUGCCCUUUCCCUUUCUGCCCCGGGUUAGGAAGGAGUGAUGUUCAGAGCCAGGACCACGGAAGAUGCUGCUCUUCAGACUUUCUGAACCAUCAUCCACAGCCAGCAGGGCUUUACCAAUCAGUCACAUCUGUGUACGAAUCUGUCUCAGGAAGGAGCUCUCAGCCUUAAGACCUGGGAUACCCUCUAUUUUUUUAAAAAUUUUCAUUAAAAAAUUGUUGCUUGCAAACCACUUAACAUUGAGUUGAUAAACAGUGUGACGAAUACAGCCUUUGCCAGCCUCCUGCCUGUCUGGAAGUGGGGAUCUGAGGCUGGGAAGACAGGACAAGGUGUCCAGGUUCCUGGGGAAGGGAAGAGGGACAUGUGGUCACUGUGUCUGGGACACAGCCUUCCCUCCCUGGAUUCACUUCUGGCUCCCUUAGGGUCCCUGUAGCUGUGGCUUAGCACUGGCCUGCAGGCCGUAACCCUGGGCUGGCUCUGACCCCGCCUGGGAUCUUCUAACUGCACCCUGCUCACUCCCUGUUGAAACAAUGGAAGCAAAAGUCUGCACCUUGCCUGGUGGCUCUGUGGUCUCCCCACUGAUGGGCAGAUGCUAAAUGCUAUGCACAGGCACACCUUGUCCUGCCAAUAGCCCAGUGUGCCACGUGGCAGGGCCUUAGUGACUGAAGAUUUGAAACUGGGAAAAUGUCCAGUGUUGUCCAGAAACUGUAUGUUAGAUUCUAGAAGCCAUGCCAGCACCCUGUGGGGCCUGUUCCUUUCCAGGGGACCCAUGAAGGGCUCACAUGGCUGAGUCAGGUUCCUUGGGUAGGCCUGUGAGUCCACUAUGGGAAGGACACAGGGGCAUACAAAUGGCAGAAGUUGUCCUCCUUGGGGCGACAUGCCAGUUAGCAUCUCCAGGCUAGAUCCUGAUUUCUAAUUCCAGGCAAAUGUUCCUGGUAACUGCACUUUAAGUAGUCCCAUCUUGUUAAUUUCUUGCUUCUUCUUCUUUUUUUUUUUAAAUGAUUUUAAAAUUUUUAUGUGCAUGUUUGCCUGCCUAUGUGUCUGUGUGAGGGUAUCAGAUGCCCUGGAACUGGAGUUACAGACAGUUGUGAGCUGCCAUGUGGGUGCUGGGAAUUGAACCCAGGUCCUCUGGAAGAGCAGCCAGUGCUCUUAACCACAGAGCCAGCUCUCCAGCCCCAAUUUCCGGCUUACUAUUGCUCUGGAGAAAAUACUCUCUUCUCACUUUUGCUCCCCAAAUUAGUGGAAUCAGAGCUGCCUUCCACUUGGACUGAUAUCUUAGCGCUCUCCCAGGAGGGCCUCCUCCGCAGCCUGACAGGCCUUGAGCUCCCCCAUGCUCUUUUGCCUUCUUUCUCUGACUCUGACAGAGAGUCGGGGGUGUGCCAUGCAAAAGGGAAUGAAGAAGCCUCCAGAAAACCCUCAUGGGGUUACUUCUUAGAGCUUAAUUUCCAGGAACCUUUUUUGGAUUUUGUCUCCCGCGGAGUGUGCGAGCCCCUCAGAGCAGCUCUGCAGCAGAUCCGCAGCUGCGUUUUCAUCUUAGACAGCUGGCACCCCUGCAGGCCUCCGCUCACUACUAGAAAAAUCACCUGGCAACAUUCCAGGGAAUGAGUCGUGGGUGGGGAAAGGAGAGCAGUACUGGUCAGCCCCUGCCUGCUCUGGGAAUGACUGUCCAGGGGAGGGCUGCUGUCCCCAGGGGUCACAGGCUGCACAGGUCAUGAGACUGCGAGCUGAACUGGAGAAAACAGGCCCAUUUAUCUGCCUUCUGCUCUCUUCUCCCCCAGCUCCCUGCCCUCCACAGUUCUGUACCAGCGUCUCAGCCCCCAAGGUCGUGCUGUGGCCCGGGACCUUGGUACUUGGCUCGUAGAUUGGUUUGGCAGCUUAUCCAGUGGGGGAAGAUGGCGGGCAGGAGUUAGAACCCAACCUGAACUGGCAGUGAGUUGGGAGGCUCUGCGCUGUUCUGCCUGGGCUCAUUUUAACUGUAGUAUUUGGGGGUACCCGGCUGAAGAUGAGAUUCGUUCCUGGCACAGCCCUGCCUAAGCGUACCUUGAGCCCGUCAGCAGCCACAGUAGCUUAGCUGCGCAGUCUGCAGGUGCAGGAGAGUCAGCUCAUACCUCAUGCUGCAUCCCAUGUGGAGCAGAACUGGCCUCCAGGCAUCAAAGGAUUUCUUGCAAGGGUUUGGCCCCUGGAAGGGAGCAGGCAUCAAACCAGAACAUGUUCCUGGAAGAUGCACGGGGCAGAUGUCUUCCAGGAACAUCGAAUCCUGCCUUCUGCAAGCUCCUCACACCCACUGUAGGCUCCUCACACCUAGAGGUGGGUGUGAGGAACCCCAAGGAUCUUUCAGCUUCUAGCUGAGCAAGGUGUCAAUUCACCACUUCUGUCACAAGCACAAGACAGCCUGCCAAGGGAUCCGAAGAGACUUCACUGUGAUCUAGCAAGCCAUGUGGGUAGUGAUGGCUUGGAUGUUUUGUACCUCCGGCCGAUCAAGGUUGGGAGUAUAUUUAUUUGCAGGUCCCAGAGGAUGUCCACGUCUCUGUGUGACCAUGGACAGGACCUCUGAAUAAUGACCCCUGUGUUCAUUCUUUGACCUCAAGGGUGAGUUUGUUAAAGUCCUACGUUGCUUUGAUGGCUUGGUGUUUUAAACGAACUCUAUGCAUCUUUUUCUGUCCCUUUCUAUUGAGUGGCAAUGUUUGUAUUUGCUAGAUGCUGUUGAGACAAUUUGAACAGCCGAGAGUUUGCACCGAGAGUGUGGGUGUACACGGACACCACAUGUGUCAGGAUGCAGGUGUACAUAGACACGGUGUUUGUCAGGGUGGUCCUUGGCCUCACAGAGGUCUGGAGGAGCUGUUUAUUGUUGCGUUUUGUAAAAAGAGAAACCAGAGAUAUGUUUGGUGGGGACGAGGUAUGGUGUGGGGGAAGGGGUGCCUCUGUGGGCCUGUGCUGAGGCAUCCCUUCCCCUUGAGGUACCAGCCACACGACAUAGGUAUAGUAUAGAGGAGAGUUUAUUUAGGUCAUGAGGGGGGGGUUGAGGGAGUAGAGACAGAGAAAGGCAGAGAGAGAAAGAGAGAGAGAGAGAGAGAGAGAGAGAGAAGAAGAAGAAGAAGAAGAAG